GCCGGCUCUGAUUGGUACUACAACU
rnacentral:miRNA from 1 species